rnacentral:rRNA from 1 species
GUUCUCCCCGAAAGCUAUUUAGGUAGCGCCUCGGACGAAUACUACUGGGGGUAGAGCACUGUUUGGGCUAGGGGGUCAUCCCGACUUACCAACCCCAUGCAAACUCCGAAUACCAGUAAGUACUAUCCGGGAGACACACGGCGGGUGCUAACGUCCGUCGUGAAGAGGGAAACAACCCAGACCGCCGGCUAAGGUCCCAAAGUUCUGGUUAAGUGGGAAACGAUGUGGGAAGGCUCAGACAGCUA